UACGUAGGGCGCAAGCGUUGUCCGGAAUUAUUGGGCGUAAAGAGCUCGUAGGCGGUUUGUCGCGUCUGCUGUGAAAACCUAAGGCUCAACCUUGGGCUUGCAGUGGGUACGGGGCAGACUAGAGUGCGGUAGGGGUGACUGGAAUUCCUGGUGAUAGCGGUGAAAUGCGGCAGAUAUCAGGGAGGAACACCGGUGGGCGAAGGCGGGUCUCUGG
rnacentral:rRNA from 1 species